rnacentral:rRNA from 1 species
AUGGCGGAGGCUGUGGUAGGGCAGGUGGUGGUCAAGCUUGGUGCGGCGCUGGCGAAAGACGCGCUCACGUUUGGCGCAAAACUGCUAUGGAAGGAAGCCUCCGCCCUCAGGGACCUCUUCGGCAAGAUCCGUGACUCCAAGGCAGAGCUGGAGAGCAUGCAGGCCUACCUGCAGGAGGCGGAGCGGUUCAAGGACACUGAUAGGACAACCGCCAUCUUCGUCGGCCAGAUCAGGGGCCUCGCCUUUCAGAUCGAGGACGUCGUCGACGAGUUCACCUACAAGCUGGAGGAGGAGAAGCAUGGGGGCUAUGCCGCCAAGAUGAAGAAGAGGCUGAAGCAUAUCAGGACAUGGCGCCGCCUGGCGGCCAAGCUCCAAGAUAUCCAAGCCAAGCUGCAGGAUGCUAAGCGGAGGAAGAAGGAUUACUCAAUUGACAGAUUUGUUUCUGCGGCCAGAUCGACGAAUCAAGCUCUGCAUUUCACCAGGGAUGAGGACCUUGUGGGGAUUGAGGAGAACAGGGAAAGGCUGAUACGGUGGCUGACCGGCGGAGGCGGUGGUGCUGAUGGUCUGGAGCAGAGGACCAGCAAAGUCACCACGGUGUGUGGGAUGCCUGGUGUUGGCAAGACCACUCUGGUUGCUCAUGUGUACAACACCGUGAAGGUGGAUUUCGACGCCGCUGCAUGGGUAACCGUGUCGCAGAAUUACCGUCUUGAAGACCUGCUGAAGAAGAUCGCCACAGAGUUCGGGGUCGCAGUUGAUAUCGCCAACAUUGAGAUGAGAGGCCUAGCAGAAUCCAUCCAUAACUACCUUCAAGGUAAAAAGUACAUCUUGGUCCUGGAUGAUGUCUGGACUGCACGCGUGUGGACAGAGAUAAGGAAUGUCUUCCCAACAUCUGAUCGUACCGGCCGAUUUGUCAUAACAUCAAGAAAGCAGGAAGUGUCGUUGUUGGCAACUAGGGAGUCUGCAAUUCAGUUGGAACCGCUACAAGAACGUCACUCUUGGUUGUUAUUCUGCCAAGGAGCUUUUUGGAAUGAUGACGACAAAGAGUGCCCGCUGGAGUUGCACAAAUUAGCGGUGAAGUUCAUUGCAAAGUGUCAAGGUUUGCCUAUUGCUCUUGCAUGCAUUGGCCGCCUACUCUCCAGCAAACUCCCAAAUUUUGCCGAAUGGGAGAAUGUGUACAGGGGUUUGGAUUCACAGUUGGUGAAAGACAUGCUCCCUGAUGUUGAUAUGAUUCUAAAGGUCAGCCUGGACGACCUUCCAUAUGAUUUGAAGAAUUGUUUCUUAUACUGUGCAUUAUUCCCAGAAGAUUAUGUAUUAAAGAGGAAGACGAUAAUGAGGCAGUGGAUUGCUGCUGGAUUUAUCAGGGAAAAGGAAGGGAACAGAACCUUGGAGGAAGUGGCCGAGGGAUACUUGGUUGAGCUCGUGAACCGAAGCCUACUGCAGGUAAUGGAGAGCAAUCAUGCCGGAUCACUGAAAUCCUACCGGAUGCAUGAUGUCAUACGCCUGCUUGCCCUCAACAAAGCCAAAGAGGAAUGCUUUGGUGAAGUUUGUAAUGGCUCUGCUGCCGGGGCAUUUUCUGCAGAGUGUGUACGUCGCAUAUUUGUCCAAGGGGAAAACCUUGAGCAGCUGAGACGAUCUGGUGCGACACAUAUCCGUGCGCUCCAUGUAUUUAAAUAUAGCAAUGUUGAUUUGCUGAAGCUUAUCCUAACAUCUUCAAAUUUGCUGUCAACAUUGGAUCUGCAAGGUUCUCGUGUCAAAAUGCUUCCCAAUGAGGUAUUCGACUUGUUUAAUCUGCGUUAUUUGGGACUUAGGGAUACCGAUAUUGAAAGCCUACCUGAAGCAGUGGGGAGGUUACAAAACUUGGAAGUCUUGGAUGCUACCAACGCUAAUCUGACGUAUUUGCCGAACAGUGUUGUAAAACUUCAGAAGUUGAGAUACCUGUAUGCAUAUACUGUUCCUGGUACAUUAGAGUCAUUAGAAAUUUUCAGGGUAGGUGGAGUCAACGUGCCUAAUGGAAUACAGCACUUGGCAGGAUUGCGUGCUCUCGAGUGUGUCAAAGCCACUCCAGUGUUUCUGCGUGAAGUUAGAGCUUUGACAGAGCUAAGAACAUUCACUGUGUGCAAUGUGAGAAGUGAACACUCUGCUGACUUGAGCAAUGCUAUCUCUAAAAUGAGCCAUCUUGUUCAUCUCGGAAUUGCCGCUGCAGCUGAGAAUGAGGUGCUGCGGUUUGAAGGGCUAUAUUUACCUCUAACCCUGUCUUGGCUUGGUUUAGCAGGACAGCUAGAAAAAACAUCGAUGCCAAAGCUUCUCUCUUCUUGGUCACACCUUAAUAGCCUCACUUGCUUGACCCUGGGAUUCUCCAAUAUUGAUGAGGACACAUUUUCCUGUUUGUGCGUGUUACAUGGUCUACGCUCUCUUGGGCUAAUGAAGGCUUUUGAAGGGAAGAGGUUGGACUUUUACGCAGGCUCAUUUCCAAAACUUCAGUUUCUACACAUAUGGGGCGCGGCACAGCUCAACCAAGUUAGAAUAGAGAAGGGCGCAAUGCAAAACCUCGUCGUGCUAUUGUUCAUGUACUGUCCCGAGUUGAAGUUUCUUCCAGAUGGUAUCGAAUAUCUUAGGGCCCUUGAAAAAUUACGUCUGGAGGACACAUCAGAAGAAUUGAUUGAGAAACUCCGGCGACAGAGAGAUUCAGAUGAAUGCAAUGAAGAUAUAAUGAAGAUUAGCCACAUAAGGAAUGUUACAGUUGAACUGACUCGGAAAGGACUGUUUGAAAGGAUUAGGUGA